rfam:Rattus norvegicus chromosome 5, whole genome shotgun sequence.
UGGCUCAGUGGUUAAGAGCACUGACUGCUUUUCCAGAGGUCCUGGGUUCAAAUCCCAG